GGAUCAGUAAGCCGGUCGUACCUUCGGUAUGUACUGGUGUCACUGAUUCCUCCCUUCUGAUGAACCGUUAUACCAUUUAGUUGGUGUGGCGGGGAAUCAGGACUGUUACUUUGAAAAAAUUAGAGUGUUUAAAGCAAGCUCGCGCUUGAAUACAUUAGCAUGGAAUAAUAAAAUAGGACGUUUGAUCUCCUAUUUUGUUGGUUUCUAGGAUCGACGUA
rnacentral:rRNA from 1 species